rnacentral:rRNA from 1 species
GCGCGAAAACUCCACACUGCACGAAAGUGUGAUGGGGGGAUCCUCCGUGCUCAUGUCUAACAUGGGCUUUUGCCAAGACUAGAUACCUUGGCGAAUAAGGGGUGGGCAAGACUGGUGCCAGCCGCCGCGGUAACCCCCAGCGCCCCAAGUGGCAAUCGCGAUUAUUGGGCCUAAAGCGUCCGUAGCCGGAUAGGUAAAUCCAGUGUGAAAUCGUCGCGCUCAACGUGACGGCAUGCACUGGAAACUGCUUAUCUCGAGACCGGGAGGGGUCAGAGGUAUGCCGUGGGGACUGGUAAAAUGGGAUAAUCCACGGUAGACCACCAAUGGCGAAGGCAUCUGACCAGAACGGAUCUGACGGUGAGGGACGAAAGCCAGGGGAGCGAACCGGAUUAGAUACCCCCGUAGUCCCUGAGCGGGCUGGCAAGGCGCAU